AGGGCGGUGAUGGUGAUGGACAUGAUGGCUUCUUUGUAGGUGUGGGCCAUUCGCUCCGGCACCGGGUCUUUGACGUGUGUGUGCUGCCAGUCGGACACCAUGAUGAACAUGUUGUUGAGGCCGAUUCCUGGGGAAAGAGGGUGCUUUUUCUCACCGAGUAUCAGGAAAGGAGAGUUUGCGACGGUGAUAACGAACGGCACUCCGAUGUAGAGCAGCAAGCCAAAGGAGGACAGGACAGCUAGGCCAGACGAGAGGACGCCAAACACAGCCACCCACACCUUGUUCCUCACGUUGUCCAUCCUGCCAACGAGGUAAAGAUAGAAUGGUGACGAAAUCGAAUUGAUGCCGCCAAUAAAGAUAACAACGUGCUGCAAUUUUUAUCCAAACUUUAUCUCGAUAAAUUCCAACCUGUGCGGUUUCACAGUGACCUAAAUUGCUCUCUGUCUGACCUGCACGACCUCAUGAAGAGUGGAAAUGAUAACAUUGUGAUACAGUUUAUGGAAACGUUUUGCUCUCAGAUAGUUUUGAGGAAUGUGAUUUAUGAUCUUCAGCUGUUCCCCAGGUUAUGUAAAUAUUGCUGGUAUUUUGUAACUCAAGUUAUCUCAAGAACAAAAGGUGGUAAAUUAUUGUUAUCUGCAUGUCAAUUCUAUAGAAGCUUUGUGCUGGAAAUAAAACAAUUGCUUUUAAAUGGAACAACUAUGGACUUUCUAAAAAAUGCAGUUGUUUUUUUGUUUCGUUUCCUCAUAUAUAUGUAUUUGGACAUAUAUGUAAAACAGAAUAUACACAGAUAUUAACAAAGAAACAAGAGAUUGAUAAAUAACUGUUGCACCUUUCACUUUAAACCAAAUUUUAUAUAGUUUUCAUUUGUGUUUCUUACAUUAUAUGCAGAAAAUUAUAAAGAUCUGACAGUAUUUUGUUAAGACAGACAUAUUUAUGUGUUGAAUAUAUCUCUAUAUAUUCAGUUGUAUUGUUUCCCCUGUUGUUUUGUUUUGCAGUGGUUUUGUAACGAAUUUUCACUAAAACUUAAACAUUUCUAUCUACAGUGGCUUUGUUUUUAGCACAGAAAUGCUAAAAUUAUUGACUACAGUACAUGUAUCCUGCAUGAUUUGCAUUGAUAAGUGACAAUGUGUUGUGUACUCGACCGUUUUGAGUCUCUUUCAUGGUAAUUUUGCAUCUUUGUAGGCAUUUACAGUUGUGUUGUCAUAUUUUUUAAAUAGUUUUGUAUUGAUUUUGUAAUGCAUUUUCAAGAAAAAUGAAGCAUUUCUAUUACAGUGUCUCCAUUCUGGACACAGCAAUACCAAAAGUACCUGCAUUAUUCUCAUUGACAAACAACAGCUCUCUGUGUUCUGGUCUGAUUUAGGUCUCUUUUUUGCAUCUCUAUGGUCAUUUUUCAUCCUUUUGUGCCUGUUUUGCUUCUUUUGUUGGCUAUUUAUCCAUCUUUUUGUGGGUGUUUUGUAUUCUUUUCCCUAAUUUUAUAAACUUUGUGGUGAUUUUGUGAUAAAAUUUCACUGUAAAGGA